GUUUUCGUAGGGAGCCUUCAGUGCAGAUCGAGAGAUAUCUGCAGGCUGUGAUUGGAGGAUUUUCUAUGGUAUUCAGAAAUGCCUAAAAGGAAUGGGUGCUGUCGCCAGGCUAUGCCAAAUGAACAUUUCUUGUCCGACAAGGGGAGGCAUCGCCAGGUAAACAUGGCUUAUGUCACAGUUCACCAUUGGACAGUGAUGAAUAUGGUCAUCGAUGAAGACUGAUGUGAUGGUUAUUGUAGGCCUGGAUGAUUGUUUGAAAAGUUUAGUGUGAACCUAAAGAAAUAAUCCAAAAGCAAAGUUUUUGUAAAGACUUGUACACGAAAAUGUUUGUGAAGAUAUUCUAAAUGAGUUGUUAAGUGUAUUCAAUUUCUGAUAUCUGGGAUUCUGGCGAAAGAAUUACGUACCAUAAAAUGAAACAACUCAGAUUGAAUAAAAUGAUUAUUCUGAAA
rnacentral:misc_RNA from 1 species